rnacentral:misc_RNA from 1 species
GAUGAAGAACGUAGUAAAAUGCGAUAAGUAAUGUGAAUUGCAGAAUUCAGUGAAUCAUCGAAUCUUUGAACGCACAUUGCGCCCGCCAGUAUUCUGGCGGGCAUGCCUGUUCGAGCGUCAUUUCAACCCUCAAGCACAGCUUGGUGUUGGGACUCGCGUUAAUUCGCGUUCCCCAAAUUGAUUGGCGGUCACGUCGAGCUUCCAUAGCGUAGUAGUAAAACCCUCGUUACUGGUAAUCGUCGCGGCCACGCCGUUAAACCCCAACUUCUGAAUGUUGACCUCGGAUCAGGUAGGAAUACCCGCUGAACUUAAGCAUAUCAAUAAGCGGAGGAA